rnacentral:hammerhead_ribozyme from 1 species
ACCCAGCUGAUGAGUCCUAAAUAGAACGAAACGUGCGUCAAACUGGAU